AAAUAUUUAUUGUAUGUUGGCUCAUAAGUUGUCUAUAUAUAUCUCAAUCCUUUGUGAGUCCAACCGCCAACUAUAUCCUUAAAAAAUAAAUUCAAAUUUUUAUAUUUUCUCAAGGAUUUAUUGUAAUCAAAGUACUUCAUUUGAGUAUGAACCUCCAAAGGGUUGCUAGGGAAAUGGACACCAGCAUAUCAGGAAUUGAGUAUGAACACCGGAAUCCGCUCUCCUGCACCUAGGCCACAGUUAACCCAUGACUUGAAUCAUCACAGCGGACCUUCAUUUGGGUUAGGGUAUGAGACAUAAUCUCCAAUCAGCUUCAUCACCUCCCCUUCAAUCUAAGUUGAGCCAAACGAACUGCCAGAACUUGAUCGUGACAUUUUCUAACUAAAAGAAGGAUAGGACACCUAUACAAAGACACAAGGAAGCCAUGAACAACUCCCUCCCCAAGAUGUGAAUAAGUAUAAAGGGCAAAGACAAAAUUGUGGUGAAAAUAAAGAGCAAAAAUGGUGUUCCUAGAGCCAGAAAAAGGGAAUUAAGUCGAUUUCCCAACUUGUGAGAAACCAAAAAGAAAAAAAAAAAUAAAGAAAACAUAAGCCAAAGGAAAACAAUCACACACACAAGACAAUAUUUAUGUGGUUCGUCAAUUUGCCUACGUUCACGGAGUUACAAGGAUAUCACUAUUAUCAGGAAAUAAUACAGAAUACAGAGUACAACUUUCGACUACAAUAUUUUCUCUCUAUCUAAAACACGGUAACAACACCACACUAAAAAAACCCUAAUUACAAAAGGUAGUUCCACAAUGAGCUAAACGGAUCCAAAAAAAUUUCCCAGAGGCGCUGCCCCUGGACCCCCAAGAGGCUUACCCAAGCCUUCACUCCGUAAACUAAGCCUCAGUAAAUCUCUCAUUAAAAAACUACAUAAUAUUAAAGCCGACAAAAACCCCACUCCCCCACUACAGGAAGAGAAAAUUUUCAAAAGGACAUUUAAAGCACAGGCCAGGAGAAAGUAAUCUAGCAAACUAUUAAGACAAGCACAAACAAACACCAAAAGAGGACUUACCAGACUGAAUGGAAUAUCAAACAAGUUCUACUCGUAGAAAUGGAGUAGCAAGCACUGGAGGAAAAGCGUCGCCCUGCGAACUGACUAGAACCAAGGGAAUGAAGGGCGUCAAAAGAGAAAGGAGAACUAGGGGUAAAU
rnacentral:lncRNA from 1 species